CCCCAACUCCAUUCUCUGAACUGUCAUGAAACCUAACUUUAUUUUAGAAAAUGAAUCUAAACCUAACUUCAUCCUGUUUCUUUCUUUUUUUUCAAAUCUCUGAUUCAAUCUACGAUCUCUGAGGAAUCGUUGGUAGUGUGGUGAAUCAGGUAGGAAUUCUUUUAUAUUAGUGGAUAUGUUAAAUUGUUUGUGUACUUGUUUUCGAUUUUGUGAAAUUCAAAUUAUCUGCUUCUCCCUAAAACUAAAUUUCCUUCUGUGCAAGAAAAAACUUAAUUUCAAUUCAAUAUUAUUUAGCCAUAUAUUUGAUUAAUGUGAGCCUCUUCAAUUUUCCAUUUAGUUGUAUAUCAAAUCCAAAAGUGCCAGAAGUAUUUUGUGAUGACCUACUUCUCUUUGGGGAUAUUUUCCAUGUGAUUGUAGAUUUUGUUAGAAUUCCCGGUCUCUCUGUGCCUUGGUUUGACAUGCAAUCAUUUAAUCACUCAAUGCAGUGUAGAUGUUUGUACAUUAUGCACCUAGUUUUUUCGGAAAUUGUGUCUAACACCCCUGUACCUGAUUUCUAUAGUCUAUGGACAACCCAAUACAAAUUUCAGCCUCGCCCCAACACUCAGUAGAACUGUACAGAUUAAAAUGUUAUAGAAGUUUUGCUUCCAAGACAAAAAUGAUCGAGCUAAUUUGUACUUUCAGUCUUCCUAAUUAGAAUUGAUAGCAACUCCUCAUAUACUUUUGACUGCAUCUUGAGUUGUGCAAGAAACGUGCAUUGCUACUUGGAAUAUGGAGGAAGCCUAAGUUGGAAGAGGGAUAUGGAGUUUAGGUUGGCAAAAUUCAGGUAACUUAUCGUCCAAUGGCAAUAAAGAACCAAUCCAGUGAUGAUUUUGGCCAUACAUUGUAAAUCCCCAUGGUGCUGAGCAUCGUUCUGAUUUUUCGCCACCUUGGCCCCGUUUGAGUAGAGGGAUUUUGACAGUUCCCUUCAAACAACAAAGUCCAAACUCUGACGGCUUAUUCUUCUGGAUUUCGUUGGUCCUCUCUUCAUCCCACAUCAUUGCUUGACAGUGAGGGCAUACUGCAGUUGGACCCCCGACAUCAUGCUUUGUCAGCUCCAUCAUUGGUCAAUAUAGAAGAUUCAGUACAAUGCACUGAUGAAGUCUUUUAUUUCUCAGCUGCAUAUGAAAGGGUUUAUGGAGCAAAAUUGAAAGCCUCGGCGUCCUAGCAAGCCUGGUCGCUUGCUUAUUCAAGUCUGCUAUUUCGUGUGGAAGAACCUUGUUUUUUUCUGCAGUAUUUAGGUUUUUUUUUCCUAAACCAUGGUUUGAUGCUGAAGAAAAGUAUUGCAGAAUUAACGAAUGUAUUUAGGUUUAUAAUCUCAAAACUAGUGACAAAACCCCUAGGUGAACAAACUAGUGAUAAGAAAAAACCGGUCAUAUUAUUUCUACCAAAUAAAAACCGUUUCAAAUAAAACUGGGACAAAAACCCCAAGCCAAAUAAUAAUGUGUAAAUUUAGUUUUUGUUACUUUAGAAAAAGACAAACAUGCCCUUGACCUUUUCUUCUUCUUCUCUGAUUUCUUUUUUCUUCUUUCUUCCGUCUCCUUCUCCCACCACCAUCAUCACCAGCAGCAACAAUGGAUCUCCACGAAGACCAACAAUAAUUUUAUUCUCCCCCGACACACUACUACACCUCCGUAUUUCACCACUACCACCACCCUCCUCCGCCUCCUUCAAUUCCUUCACCACCAACAAUUCCUUCACCACCAACACCAUUUCCACCACCGUAAACAUCACCACCCUUAACUCCUCGCCAAGAAUAAAAUAGCACAAUUCCAUCAUCGAACCCACGAACACCAGUAUAUCACCACUACUAAACCCACGAUUUUUCAUACCUUUUAUUCUGUAUAUAUAUACUGAUGUGAAUCU